GCACACAGCGACGUCCCCACGAACAGCAGUGGAUUAAGUGACCGAUCCUUAAAAACAUACAUAAGGCAGAGCGGAGGGGUUUAACAGAUGGACAGCUUGCUCUGAGAGCUGUUACGCUCGCGAGGCCCUGGAAGAGGAAGUGCCUCAGACUUCCUCAACGCUCAAGGGUGGAGGCUGCCAUCAAGCAAGAAAGUGAGCGAGUGAGACCAUAGCAGAAGUUGAAGGACGAACACUGAACGCCGGGCUUCGUUAGCGCUCAGAGAGGAAGAUAAAGAGAGACAAGAGAGAG